UCUAUAGAGCGUAGAUCAUAGGUCUGUAGCCCCCCAUAUAUAUGCCCAUCGUAAAGCGUAAGAGCCCUGUUCCUCUUCUUCCCGAUAAUCUCGAGUCCUGACUCUCCCAGGUCCCAAAACCCUCAUCCCCGAUUUCCUGCUCCAGCCAUCCAGUCCCCGAUUCCCGACUCUUCGAUGUCGGUGCACCGCACCAACCAUGAGGCCACGACCUCUACCUUCGCUUCUACAAAUCUCACCACUGCCUUCCCACCCUACCGACAGAGCUAAGCUCCUGAUCUUCUACCACUUCCAUCGUUCCAUGAAGGCUGCCUCCACCUCACCGUCAAGCUCCACACCAUCAAUGUCACCCCCGACUACCGCCUCGCAACUGAGCAUCGCCUCCUCUCUUUCUUGACGUGCUUGGCUCUUCCCGAGUCUCGACCAAGCUAGGGCUAGGGCUCUUCCCGCUCACCGUCGUGCCUCCUCCUCGCACCUCCGCGCCUCCUCCUCGCACCUCCACAUGUCCUCGCCUCCUCUUCUUCCCAGUUCCCAUCUCCUCUCCACCUCCUAGGCCCCGGUGUCCUCCCCGCCUCCCCAUCUUCUCUCGAUCAGUGAUGUCGGCUCCGACAGGAAGUACUGAUGGAAUCUUGGCUCCAAGCUCAUUGGAUGAUGGAUCAUCUAGCUCUACUGAUGAUGAGGUUGAUGAAGAGGAAGAUGAUGGCUCAAAAUUUCAGAUAGUAAGGAACAAAAUGAGGAGGAAGAUGUAGUUUGUUAUGAUAGUAUGAUUAUUCUACACUCUAGUACUCAUUUCCUUUUCAUUGAGUCCAACAAGUUUGAUUAUUUCAAUGUUGAAACUUAGUAUAACUUAGUACUUGAUACUUUGAUUGUAAUUUUACUUUUUAUACCUACACUUGGUACUUUGUUUGAUUAUUUUCUCUUAUAUUUUAUUUAGAAGUUUUCUUUUAAUUUCAAUAUAGUGAGACAGAAGAGCUACAUAUACUUAUACCAAAGAUGGACCAAGGUCCAAAAACAAACAAAAAAAAAUGUUGGACCAAUAUAAAAAUUGUUGGUUCAAAUUUUCUAUUAUUCCAAUAUUGCUCCUAGAUUGAUUUUGAUGAUUACAAAGCAGAUUGAAGGGA